rnacentral:rRNA from 1 species
UACGUAGGGGGCAAGCGUUGUCCGGAAUCAUUGGGCGUAAAGAGCGUGUAGGCGGCCAGAUAAGUCCGCUGUGAAAACUCGAGGCUCAACUUCGAGCUGUCGGUGGAAACUAUUUGGCUAGAGUCCGGAAGAGGAGAGUGGAAUUCCUGGUGUAGCGGUGAAAUGCGCAGAUAUCGGGAGGAACACCAGUGGCGAAGGCGGCACUCUGGGCCAGUACUGACACUGAGGAGCGAAAGCGUGGGGAGCGAACAGG